CGGCGUGCCUCGGCAUCAG
rnacentral:snRNA from 1 species